UUUGGGGUGAUUCGGUAUGCAGCAGUAAUAGCCACCACCAUCUCCCUGAACAUCAUUCUUUAAACCUGUGUUGAUAACUAGUACACACAGCGCCUGCAGGGCCCCACCCUGUCUCCUGGCCAAAGAGACUCAAGAAAUCCGGGCAGAGAAUGGUGCUCCCUGCUGCCCAGCGGAGAUGACCACUUCACGGAGAGCAGAGAGAGGAAGGAGGAGGAGAGCGAAAAGAAAGGUCCUCUUUCAGGCUGAGGACGCUGUGGAGUGGCCUCCCCUGGCCUGCCAAGAGCUGACUCACCGGCCGGGACACAGCAUUACAGGUGCACUCAGCACAGACAAUGGAUGCUUUUUAUACACAGCCCCACGCCUGACCGAGACUGACCACUGGGGUCAGGUAGAGACGGUGCCCCAGGGAGUAUGGGCCUGGAGGCAUGAGUAGGAGAGGACCUGGCCUGGAAGCUGCCAUUCUCCAGCCUUCCAGAGCUGGGGUCUGAGCAUUCACAGCCAUGGAGACCCUGCAAUUUCAUGGCCAAGGGACUUCUGAGGUUGGAGGCAGGGAGAAGCGCAGGGUUACUGACACGCAGGCUGUUCACGGCUCUGACAUCGGCAGCUGUGUGAACGGGGGCAAGAUCCUGAGGCUCCCUGGGCCUCAGCCUUCUCAUCUGUACCAUGGAAGAGAUGGCAGCAACCCAGUGGGCUGUGCAGAGUCCAGCUCUAGGAUCUUUAUCUCUCACGCCUGGCACAUCUCAGGGACGCAGACCCACGUGCUGAAAGGACAGACACACAGACAGGGAGCAAGGGAGAGCAGGGCGUGGACAGAAGCUUCUGGAAAAGCUGCCGUUGAGGAAGGGCUCUGGGAGACAGAGGCUGCCGGGAGGAGAGCUGAGCAGCUCCAGCCUGGCGGUGGACCUCAGGGUGAGGUGAAGGUGGGAGACAGAGCCCCACACAGAGGCUGGACAGCUGCGUCCCCUGUUCUGGGUCCCCAGGGUCUGCGGUGGGCACAGGGCAGCCACUGAAGUGAGGAGCCCCUGUCCCCCCCUCACAGAACCCGAGGGCCAUGCCUGGGGCCUGGCGUCCGCUUGUCACCGGGAGAAAAGCCAGUUUGUCCUGCAGACCCUACAGCCAGAGCAGGCACAAGUGCUGGAGAUAAGAGGAUCUUGAACAAAUAAACUCCUCUGCAGGGGCUUGCACGAGGAGAGAGCAGGAGCUUUCUCUCCCUGUCUUUUCUCUCCCUUUCUUUUCUCUUUCUCCUUCUUCUUUCUUUAUUUUUUCUCUCAUAGUCACUCUCUUCCUUUCUUUUGUCUCUUCCAUUCUUUCUUUUUUUUAAAGUUUUUUUAACUUAAAAAAAAAAUUUAGUCUUUUAAAAAUUUAUUUUAGUGAUCCCAAUAUCUGUAUUUAAUCUGUUUUUUUUGUUUAUUAGCAUAUGUUUGUGACAUAAUGAAUAUAUUCA
rnacentral:lncRNA from 1 species